AAACCAUAAUGAGGGCACUGUUUUUGUAGACUCUUGAAUCCGUCCCAUGCUUCAAAUAAUGAUUCUCCAUCUAUCUAAAUAAAAUUUGUGAUGCAAUUCCUUAU